rnacentral:rRNA from 1 species
UUGAGUACUUACGUUUCCUCGGCGGGUCCGCCCGCCGAUUGGACAAAAUUAAACCCUUUGCAGUUGCAAUCAGCGUCUGAAAAACAUAAUAGUUACAACUUUCAACAACGGAUCUCUUGGUUCUGGCAUCGAUGAAGAACGCAGCGAAAUGCGAUAAGUAGUGUGAAUUGCAGAAUUCAGUGAAUCAUCGAAUCUUUGAACGCACAUUGCGCCCCUUGGUAUUCCAUGGGGCAUGCCUGUUCGAGCGUCAUUUGUACCUUCAAGCUUUGCUUGGUGUUGGGUGUUUGUCUCGCCUUUGCGUGUAGACUCGCCUCAAAACAAUUGGCAGCCGGCGUAUUGAUUUCGGAGCGCAGUACAUCUCGCGCUUUGCACUCAUAACGACGACGUCCAAAAGUACAUUUUUACACUCUUGACCUCGGAUCAGGUAGGGAUACCCGCUGAACUUAAGCAUAUCAAUAAGCGGGAGGAAGAAUCAUUACC